GAUCAUGGCUCAGGAUGAACGCUAGCUACAGGCUUAACACAUGCAAGUCGGAGGGGCAGCAUGGUCUUAGCUUGCUAAGGCCGAUGGCGACCGGCGCACGGGUGAGUAACACGUAUCCAACCUGCCGUCGUACUCUUGGACAGCCUUCUGAAAGGAAGAUUAAUACAAGAUGGCAUCAUGAGUUCACAUGUUCACAUGAUUAAAGGUAUUCCGGUAGACGAUUGGGGGA
rnacentral:rRNA from 1 species